UACGUAGGGUGCAAGCGUUAUCCGGAAUUAUUGGGCGUAAAGAGCUCGUAGGCGGUUUGUCGCGUCUGCUGUGAAAAACCCGAGGCUCAACCUCGGGCCUGCAGUGGGUACGGGCAGACUAGAGUGCGGUAGGGGGAGAUUGGAAUUCCUGGUGUAGCGGUGGAAUGCGUAGAUAUCUGGAGGAAUACCGGUGGCGAAGGCGGCAUCCUGGACCGGCAUUGACGCUGAGGAGCGAAAGCUAGGGGGAGCAAACGGG
rnacentral:rRNA from 1 species